rnacentral:rRNA from 1 species
CAGCCGCCGCGGUAAUACAGAGGGUGCAAGCGUUAAUCGGAAUUACUGGGCGUAAAGCGCGCGUAGGUGGUUUGUUAAGUUGGAUGUGAAAUCCCCGGGCUCAACCUGGGAACUGCAUCCAAAACUGGCAGGCUAGAGUAGGGCAGAGGGUGGUGGAAUUUCCUGUGUAGCGGUGAAAUGCGUAGAUAUAGGAAGGAACACCAGUGGCGAAGGCGACCACCUGGGCUCAUACUGACACUGAGGUGCGAAAGCGUGGGGAGCAAACAGGAUUAGAUACCCCAGUAGUCCCUGUCUCUUAUAA